rnacentral:rRNA from 1 species
GUUAAGCGACUAAGCGUACACGGUGGAUGCCCUGGCAGUCAGAGGCGAUGAAGGACGUGCUAAUCUGCGAUAAGCGUCGGUAAGGUGAUAUGAACCGUUAUAACCGGCGAUUUCCGAAUGGGGAAACCCAGUGUGAUUCGUCACACUAUCAUUAACUGAAUCCAUAGGUUAAUGAGGCGAACCGGGGGAACUGAAACAUCUAAGUACCCCGAGGAAAAGAAAUCAACCGAGAUUCCCCCAGUAGCGGCGAGCGAACGGGGAGCAGCCCAGAGCCUGAAUCAGUGUGUGUGUUAGUGGAAGCGUCUGGAAAGGCGCGCGAUACAGGGUGACAGCCCCGUACACAAAAAUGCACAUACUGUGAGCUCGAUGAGUAGGGCGGGACACGUGGUAUCCUGUCUGAAUAUGGGGGGACCAUCCUCCAAGGCUAAAUACUCCUGACUGACCGAUAGUGAACCAGUACCGUGAGGGAAAGGCGAAAAGAACCCCGGCGAGGGGAGUGAAAAAGAACCUGAAACCGUGUACGUACAAGCAGUGGGAGCACAGAGCAAUCUGUGUGACUGCGUACCUUUUGUAUAAUGGGUCAGCGACUUAUAUUCUGUAGCAAGGUUAACCGAAUAGGGGAGCCGAAGGGAAACCGAGUCUUAACUGGGCGUUAAGUUGCAGGGUAUAGACCCGAAACCCGGUGAUCUAGCCAUGGGCAGGUUGAAGGUUGGGUAACACUAACUGGAGGACCGAACCGACUAAUGUUGAAAAAUUAGCGGAUGACUUGUGGCUGGGGGUGAAAGGCCAAUCAAACCGGGAGAUAGCUGGUUCUCCCCGAAAGCUAUUUAGGUAGCGCCUCGUGAAUUCAUCUCCGGGGGUAGAGCACUGUUUCGGCAAGGGGGUCAUCCCGACUUACCAACCCGAUGCAAACUGCGAAUACCGGAGAAUGUUAUCACGGGAGACACACGGCGGGUGCUAACGUCCGUCGUGAAGAGGGAAACAACCCAGACCGCCAGCUAAGGUCCCAAAGUCAUGGUUAAGUGGGAAACGAUGUGGGAAGGCCCAGACAGCCAGGAUGUUGGCUUAGAAGCAGCCAUCAUUUAAAGAAAGCGUAAUAGCUCACUGGUCGAGUCGGCCUGCGCGGAAGAUGUAACGGGGCUAAACCAUGCACCGAAGCUGCGGCAGCGACGCUGAUGCGUUGUUGGGUAGGGGAGCGUUCUGUAAGCCUGUGAAGGUGUGCUGUGAGGCAUGCUGGAGGUAUCAGAAGUGCGAAUGCUGACAUAAGUAACGAUAAAGCGGGUGAAAAGCCCGCUCGCCGGAAGACCAAGGGUUCCUGUCCAACGUUAAUCGGGGCAGGGUGAGUCGACCCCUAAGGCGAGGCCGAAAGGCGUAGUCGAUGGGAAACAGGUUAAUAUUCCUGUACUUGGUGUUACUGCGAAGGGGGGACGGAGAAGGCUAUGUUGGCCGGGCGACGGUUGUCCCGGUUUAAGCGUGUAGGCUGGUUUUCCAGGCAAAUCCGGAAAAUCAAGGCUGAGGCGUGAUGACGAGGCACUACGGUGCUGAAGCAACAAAUGCCCUGCUUCCAGGAAAAGCCUCUAAGCAUCAGGUAACAUCAAAUCGUACCCCAAACCGACACAGGUGGUCAGGUAGAGAAUACCAAGGCGCUUGAGAGAACUCGGGUGAAGGAACUAGGCAAAAUGGUGCCGUAACUUCGGGAGAAGGCACGCUGAUAUGUAGGUGAAGUCCCUCGCGGAUGGAGCUGAAAUCAGUCGAAGAUACCAGCUGGCUGCAACUGUUUAUUAAAAACACAGCACUGUGCAAACACGAAAGUGGACGUAUACGGUGUGACGCCUGCCCGGUGCCGGAAGGUUAAUUGAUGGGGUUAGCGCAAGCGAAGCUCUUGAUCGAAGCCCCGGUAAACGGCGGCCGUAACUAUAACGGUCCUAAGGUAGCGAAAUUCCUUGUCGGGUAAGUUCCGACCUGCACGAAUGGCGUAAUGAUGGCCAGGCUGUCUCCACCCGAGACUCAGUGAAAUUGAACUCGCUGUGAAGAUGCAGUGUACCCGCGGCAAGACGGAAAGACCCCGUGAACCUUUACUAUAGCUUGACACUGAACAUUGAGCCUUGAUGUGUAGGAUAGGUGGGAGGCUUUGAAGUGUGGACGCCAGUCUGCAUGGAGCCGACCUUGAAAUACCACCCUUUAAUGUUUGAUGUUCUAACGUUGACCCGUGAUCCGGGUUGCGGACAGUGUCUGGUGGGUAGUUUGACUGGGGCGGUCUCCUCCUAAAGAGUAACGGAGGAGCACGAAGGUUGGCUAAUCCUGGUCGGACAUCAGGAGGUUAGUGCAAUGGCAUAAGCCAGCUUGACUGCGAGCGUGACGGCGCGAGCAGGUGCGAAAGCAGGUCAUAGUGAUCCGGUGGUUCUGAAUGGAAGGGCCAUCGCUCAACGGAUAAAAGGUACUCCGGGGAUAACAGGCUGAUACCGCCCAAGAGUUCAUAUCGACGGCGGUGUUUGGCACCUCGAUGUCGGCUCAUCACAUCCUGGGGCUGAAGUAGGUCCCAAGGGUAUGGCUGUUCGCCAUUUAAAGUGGUACGCGAGCUGGGUUUAGAACGUCGUGAGACAGUUCGGUCCCUAUCUGCCGUGGGCGCUGGAGAAUUGAGGGGGGCUGCUCCUAGUACGAGAGGACCGGAGUGGACGCAUCACUGGUGUUCGGGUUGUCAUGCCAAUGGCACUGCCCGGUAGCUAAAUGCGGAAGAGAUAAGUGCUGAAAGCAUCUAAGCACGAAACUUGCCCCGAGAUGAGUUCUCCCUGACUCCUUGAGAGUCCUGAAGGAACGUUGAAGACGACGACGUUGAUAGGCCGGGUGUGUAAGCGCAGCGAUGCGUUGAGCUAACCGGUACUAAUGAACCGUGAGGCUUAACCUUACAACGCCGAAG